UACGUAGGGUGCAAGCGUUAAUCGGAAUUACUGGGCGUAAAGCGUGCGCAGGCGGCUUUGCAAGACAGAUGUGAAAUCCCCGGGCUUAACCUGGGAACUGCAUUUGUGACUGCAUGGCUAGAGUGCGGCAGAGGGGGAUGGAAUUCCGCGUGUAGCAGUGAAAUGCGUAGAUAUCGAGAGGAACACCAGUGGCGAAGGCGGCAUCCUGGACCAACACUGACGCUGAGGAGCGAAAGCCAGGGGAGCAAACGGG
rnacentral:rRNA from 1 species